rnacentral:rRNA from 1 species
AACGAACGCUGGCGGCAUGCCUAACACAUGCAAGUCGAGCGAGACCUUCGGGGCCAGUGGCGCACGGGUGCGUAACGCGUGGGAACCUGCCCUCAGGUUCGGAAUAACUCCCCGAAAGGUGUGCUAAUACCGGAUAAGGUCUUCUGACGAAAGAUUUAUUGCCGUUGGAUGGGCCCGCGUUGGAUUAGCUAGUUGGUAGGGUAAAAGCCUACCAAGGCGACGAUCAGUAGCUGGUCUGAGAGGAUGAUCAGCCACACUGGGACUGAGACACGGCCCAGACUCCUACGGGAGGCAGCAGUGGGGAAUAUUGGACAAUGGGCGAAAGCCUGAUCCAGCAAUGCCGCGUGAGUGAUGAAGGCCUUAGGGUUGUAAAGCUCUUUUAACCGGGAUGAUAAUGACGGUACCGGAAGAAUAAGCCCCGGCUAACUCCGUG